GACGGAAGGUGCAAGCGUUGCUCGGAAUCACUGGGCGUAAAGGGUGCGUAGGCGGCCGCGCAAGUCUGGCGUGAAAGCCCCGGGCUCAGCCCGGGAAGGGCGCUCGAAACGGCGCGGCUCGAGUGCCGGAGGGGAGAGUGGAAUUCCCGGUGUAGCGGUGAAAUGCGUAGAUAUCGGGAGGAACAUCAGUGGCGAAGGCGGCUACCUGGCCCCAAUACUGACA
rnacentral:rRNA from 1 species